GUCCAACCGCCUACCUGGCAAACAGCCGUGUCAAAAUAUACUAAUUAAAAUUCUAGUUAUACCAAUUGAUAAGAAGCUAUUGAAUAGAGUACAAAAGAGAUUAGAAACUAAUCAACCGUGCUUAAUUGUCUGAAUAAUGUUAAAUUAUUUAGACUUAAAUUAUAGUCCAAACGUAAAGAAUUAAAAUGUUUGUCCAUUGUAUUUUGAC